UACAGAGGGUGCGAGCGUUAAUCGGAAUUACUGGGCGUAAAGCGCACGUAGUCGGCUUUGCAAGUCGGGUGUGAAAUCCCCGGGCUCAACCUGGGAACUGCAUCCGAGACUGCAUUGCUAGAGUAUGGGAGAGGGAAGCGGAAUUUCUGGUGUAGCAGUGAAAUGCGUAGAUAUCAGAAGGAACAUCUGUGGCGAAGGCGGCCAUCUGGACCAGCACUGACACUGAGGCACGAAAGCUAGGGGGAGCAAACGGG
rnacentral:rRNA from 1 species